UAAAAUAAAUUAACCGUAACUUUAAUAGUCUCGCGUCAAUAUAGGUAUUUUUGUCUCCGGUUCUAGAGCCUGUCUAACUAGCCUUUGAAUUUUGAAGGAAUUGGGACUUCACCAAAACCCUAGUACGUAAAACCUCGACUGUUUUUUUGGUUGAUCUGGAAUUCUUGAAACCAAUCGAAGAUGAGUAGGCCAAUGGAAGAGGAUGCUCCUACUAAGAACGAAGAAGAGGAGUUCAACACUGGUCCU